UGCCUGUCUAAUUUAUUUGAUGACCAUCUACAUUUUCAGAUAGGGACAGAGUAGACUGCAUAACCAAAAUAGGACAGUGUCAGCAAGUGUUGUUUCAUGUUUCAGGGGUAUAAAAUGAUGACAGAUGAUCUUCCACAGCAUUUGCAAGGGUCUGUGAGCCCUCGUAGUUGGCCCAUUUCUUCAGUAAUGUGUUGACCUCGUUUUAAACACGACUUUAUAUCUUCUUGUAUUCCAUGGCAGAUGCAGUCCUGUAACAACUUCAUGAAUUUGAGGUCUUUAGUGCCUGAAAAGAAACUAUCCCAGGGUAUUUUCUCCACAGUUUUUAAAUUUUUGGGAACUGGUCUAAUGGAUAGAAAAACGUGUGGAAAACAUCUGAUACAUUCCUGAUUUAUAUUUCCUAUUUUACUGAUUAAAACUUGUUAAGGUAAAUGU